GUUGGAUGGCUGGGUCACCGGACACAUUUUUCAAACUACUAACCCAAAAGAUGAUUGUGGCCAAGUUUGGAUUAAUUUGGCCAAGUAGUUUCAGAGAGAGAAGAUUUUUGUAAAAGAUUACUAAGAUUUACGAAAAAUGGUUAAAAAUUGACUAUAAAGGGCAAUAACUCCUAAAGGGGUCAACUGACCAUUUCAGUCAUGUUGACUUAUUUGUAAAUCUUACUUUGCUGAACA
rnacentral:lncRNA from 1 species